rnacentral:rRNA from 1 species
GAUGAACGCUAGCGGCAGGCCUAACACAUGCAAGUCGAGGGGCAACACGAGGUAGCAAUACUUUGGUGGCGACCGGCGCACGGGUGAGUAACGCGUAUGCAACCUACCCUGUACAGGGGGAUAGCCCGGAGAAAUUCGGAUUAAUACCCCAUAAAGAUAUCAGAAGGCAUCUUUUGAUAUUUAAAGUUUCGGCGGUACGGGAUGGGCAUGCGUAACAUUAGCUAGUUGGUAGGUAACGGCCUACCAAGGCAACGAUGUUUAGGGGUCCUGAGAGGGUGAUCCCCCACACUGGUACUGAGACACGGACCAGACUCCUACGGGUGGCAG